rnacentral:rRNA from 1 species
AGCUGAGUUUGAUCCUGGCUCAGGAUGAACGCUAGCGGCAGGCCUAAUACAUGCAAGUCGAGCGGCAAGUUGAGAAGCAAUUCGAGACCUAGAGCGGCGUACGGGUGCGUAACGCGUAUGCAACCUACCUCAUACAGGGGGAUAGCCCGGAGAAAUCUGGAUUAAUACCCCAUGGUACAGCACGAGGGCAUCUGAGUGUUGUUAAAGAUUCAUCGGUAUGAGAUGGGCAUGCGUCUGAUUAGCUAGUUGGCGGUGUAACGGACCACCAAGGCGACGAUCAGUAGGGGUUCUGAGAGGAAGGUCCCCACACUGACACUGAGAUACGGGCCAGACUCCGUACGGGAGCAGCAGUGGGGGAAUAUUGCGCAAUGGACGAAAGUCUGACGCAGCGACGCCUCGUGAGGG